GAAUUCUGGGUAACUGUUUAGUGUAGACGCCAUAUUAGGAGAAUCGAGCUUCUUUUCUGCUAGUACGUGUACGGCGGUGUUUUGAUUUUCUUUUUGAUAAUAUUACCAUGGUAGGUCAUUCCUGCUGCAUUAAAAACUGCAAUAGCAAGUCACAUGAUCGUUCAGGAAAUAAACUGAACAAUGGGAUACGUUUUUUCCUUUUUCCGACGUGUAAACCACGUGAAGGAAUGCAUGUUGAGGAGGUAAAGAGAAGACGUCGCAUGGCGUGGAUAGAGGCAGCAAGACGAAAAGAUAUCAGUUAUAGCAACAUCUCUGCUUCAAUAAGAGUGUGUUCUCGGCAUUUUCAAUCAGGACAACAGCAUUUUAAAUGCUUGACACCCAUCCUGACUGGUCACUGUCUUUGCUUUUGGGCCACAAUGAAGUGAAACCGACAGACAAAAACAGGUUUUCACGUCAGUUAAGGAGACAUGAGAGGUCUGGGGUCAGGACAGGAGAGAAAGUGGAGGACAGGGUUCGAAGUGAAGCAGCGGCGGCAGCACAAGAAGAGGAAGAGGUACAACAGGAAGAGGUAUACAACAAGGAAACGGAGGAGGUGAGACAACAGGACGUGGAGGAGAGGGCACGGCAGGACGCGGAGGAGAAGGCACGACAGGAAGAUGACAUGACACAAAAUCCUCAUGACCACAUUGUAGAGGAAUGUAAGCUCUGCCAGUCCAGGCAUGAUGAAAUAAACCAUCUACUAGAGGAAAACAGGCAUCUGAAGCAUGAACUUGAUAAAUGCAAAAUCACAGACAAUUUUUAAGGAUGAUAAAGUAAAAUAUUACACUGGACUUCCAAGCUAUACCAUUUUUCAGGUUUUGUUGUGCCAUAUAAUGCCAUUUCUGCCUCUGGAAAGAAGAAAUUUGACACCUUUUCAGAUGAUCCUUCAUGCGUCUGAGAUUGGAUCUGCCAAUCCAGCACAUCACCCAUCUAUUCAGUGUGCACCGAGCAACUGUUAGUGCUGCAUUUAAGAAAACGUGAAUGUUUUGUACUCACGCUUGUCUCCACUAGUGCAUUGGCCAGACAGAGUUUGCGAGUCAGUAUGCCGCACCAGUUUGUGGAGACAUUUGGAAAUCGUGUUGCUGCCAUUGUGGACUGCUUUGAUGUUUUUAUAGAAAGACCAUCAAAUCUUCAGGAGCCGGUUGCAUUAGCUGUGCGUAAGUUACAGCUUAGCCUAGUUGUGGCGCAAAUGGGCACUAAGUCACCAUUUACGCACUUCUAAAUAUUUGAGCGUUGCACCAUUCAAUUUAGGUAGGACAACCUUAUGUAUAAACUAAAUAUUUACGGAAGCCUCUGAGUAACAGAUUGAGUAAAAAGCAGACUGAUAUUUUAUGACAUCAAUGAGCUCAUGUUUUGUGUGACAUGCAUCAAUCAUUUCGACAUACAUUAUGAUGUUGACAUUUACACUUGUUUACAUUUAGGAGAGAGAGAAAAAACGUACUUUUAAGCGGCUCUUCAACAUGAAACCAAUCUAACGGUUUUCAGGAUGCGUCGCCCGGUGUCAAGUUUCAACACAUUCAAAAAAUAUAUAUAUAUAUAUAUAUAUAUAUAUAUAUAUAUAUAUAUAUAAAGGAUAUUAAAAUGAAUAAAUGUCUGUUUUUUCCAGCCUGUUGUAUUAGUAUUUGUAAUCCCUUAUUUUAGAUACAUUUCCUAUAUAUUGUUAUUUACAUAGUGCAAAUAUACUAUUUAUCAAAUCUACUUUUAUUACAUAUCGUAUUUUAAUGGGGAUAUAAUUUAUUACAGCUGACAGUUAAGUGAGCAAACGAGGUGUGAACAUCAACUGUAACAAGAUCAAAUUGAAGUUCGUGGCUUUUUAACACUUCUGUGUACAAAUUUGAAGGCUGUUUAUUGGAUCAAUACAGGUAAACGUCAUAUUAUGCGACUACGCAUUGCUUUACGGAGAGCUUACAACCUACUAGUUAAGCCCUAAGAGCAGGUGGUGCAACCAAAUUAAGCACUGACUCAGUUACAAACUAACUAGUAGUUACUAAGCCCUUAGUGUGAACUUUACGUCCCAACUUACGUGAGAACUUAUGCACAGCUGGUGCAACCCUACCCAGGCAAGGGCACAAACAUUUUCAAACUACAAAUAGUCACACACUGAAAUACCUCAUAUGCAUUACCCCACAAGGAGUCAUUUCUCCCAUCUCCAAAGGGUGGGGUGGGCGCAUUAGUGACAAACAAAUAACCGAGAAAUGUGGUUUUCUAGACAAACUACUACCAGGUGACACAGUAUUAGUGGAUCGAGGGUUUGACAUAAAAGAGAGUGUGGGAUUGAUGUGUGCUGAAGUAAAAAUACCAGCAUUUACAAAGGGGCAACAUCAGUUGGAAGCAAAGGAUGUGGAGGACACGAGACGCAUCGCACACCUCAGAAUCCAUGUGGAGAUUUAUCGGUAUUGUACGCAACAAAUAUAAAAUCCUGUCUUCAACUGUUCCUAUCAGUAUGAUUCUGCCAUUUGAGGGUGAGAAUGUGACAUUUUUAGACAAAAUUAUUAGUUUGCUGUGCUCUGGUGAACAUGUGUCCAAGUGUUGUACAAUGAUUACGUAAAGUACACUGCAGCCUUUUGAAUUUGCCUGCUUUACAUUGAUCAGUUUUUACAAUAAGUGUUUUUAAUGAAAAGAUUUCUUUAAUGCUUGUCUAAAAUGUUUUUACAUGCCUUGCUUCUAUUGUUUGUGAAACAACUUUUUAUCUAUGAAUUGAACAUAAUAAAGAUUUGAAAUGA